UACGAAGGGGGCUAGCGUUGUCCGGAAUCACUGGGCGUAAAGGGCGCGUAGGCGGCUUUGUAAGUCGGGGGUGAAAGCCUGUGGCUCAACCACAGAAUUGCCUUCGAUACUGCAUGGCUUGAGACCGGAAGAGGUUAGUGGAACUGCGAGUGUAGAGGUGAAAUUCGUAGAUAUUCGCAAGAACACCAGUGGCGAAGGCGGCUGACUGGUCCGGUUCUGACGCUGAGGCGCGAAAGCGUGGGGAGCAAACAGG
rnacentral:rRNA from 1 species